rnacentral:rRNA from 1 species
CCUACGGGAGGCAGCAGUGGGGAAUAUUGCACAAUGGGGGAAACCCUGAUGCAGCGACGCCGCGUGAGUGAAGAAGUACUUCGUUAUGUAAAGCUCUAUCAGCAGGGAAGAAAAUGACGGUACCUGAGUAAGAAGCCCCGGCUAACUACGUGCGAGCAGCCUCGGUAUUACGUAGGGGGCAAGCGUUAUCCGGAUUUACUGGGUGUAAAGGGAGCGUAGACGGCAGUGCAAGUCUGGAGUGAAAGGCGGGGGCUCAACCCACGGACUGCUCUGGAAACUGUACGGCUGGAGUGCAGGAGAGGUAAGUGGAAUUCCUAGUGUAGCGGUGAAAUGCGUAGAUAUUAGGAGGAACACCAGUGGCGAAGGCGGCUUACUGGACUGUAACUGACGUUGAGGCUCGAAAGCGUGGGUAGCAAACAGGAUUAGAUACCCGAGUAGUC